CCAGACAAUGCUUCAAGCCGUGGUUUUCAAAGUGUCGUUUGGGACCCCUGGAGGUUCAUCGGGCCAAGUUAUUUUAAGACAUCUGUUUCUACAGAUGACACCAGGAAGCUUCCGGACAUCCCCAUUCCAGAGAUGCUGAAACGAGGGGAAGACGUGAAUACAAUGAACACAGUUCUCAAUAAGAAAACUGGACUUUGCAUUAGGGGUUGUAAAUAUCUUUCUCAGGCUGGUACUUCUAUUUUGACUAAUAUUUUUUAUCAUCAAGAACGUUUACAUGUUCAUGUCGUCAAAUGUAUCAUUUUUUUAAAUGUAUGGCGUAUGAAUUUUGUGUCUGGAGCUUCCCACAAAAAUAUUAUAGAAAAAAAGCCCAUACUUCCCAAGGAACGGGUUGUUUUUUUUUUUGUCUUUUUUACUUUUAAAUUUGUGAUCUAGGGUAUAGGACAUAGGGUAUGUGUGUAUGUUGUAUGUUCAGUAGAAUGUCUGAGGUAGAAUUUCAGCUUUUUCUCAAACUACCCAGGUUUUCCACUGUCAUCAUAUACUAUUAAAUUUUCA